AUAUAAAAUCUAUUACAAGGAUGCUACAAUAUCAACCUCUUUCUUAUUUUGAAAUCAUAACCAUGCUGGCUAUAAAGUUUAACCUGCUGGUAUUUUACUGAACAAGUAACACUGAGUGGGCUGCCAUACAUUUAACAGACUGAAAUUCAGACAGCAGAAGACUGAAAUUUCAAUUGCCUUUUUGGCACCUGAAUGUUUUCUGACAAAAUAAGCUCUAUCCAAAACCAAUGAGAUUUCAGCAGAUGAAAACUGAAGGUGAUGUGAAUAUCUGAGACAAGUGAAAGAUUUUCUUGUAUUACUUCAAGGUUCCUAGAGUAUUGCUCAACUCUCCCAUGGCAACUCAAAUCAUUUAU